UGCCCUUUUCCGACCCUAUGUUUUGAAACAGGGUAGGUAGGUAGGUAAAAUAUUUUAUUUUUUCCCCCAAAAAAAUAACUUGGCUCGGUAUAUUAUUUGUCAUGGGUAGGCAGGUAGGUAAAAUAUUUUAUUUUAUAAAUACAAAAUCUGCAUAAUGUCAUUUUUUUCUGUUUUGUUUUUGCAAAUAAGUUUUCCGCUGGGACUAUUAGUUUUGAAAAAAAAAUAUAUAAGAGAUAACUUUGUACUGGUAAGAUAAUGUCCGGGCACACAUAUAUUACUAGUAGAAAAAGUCCCUAGAGUGUUACAAAUUUCGUGUGUGCCUUUUUUCCAAUAAAAA
rnacentral:lncRNA from 1 species